rfam:Caenorhabditis japonica strain DF5081 Contig7994.1, whole genome shotgun sequence.
CUUCCAUGUCCCGGGAUAGGGUAUUGUAAUUAUUACCCUUAAAACGAAGGAAUGCCUAGUAAGUGUGAAGUCAUCAGCUCACGUUGAUUACGUCCCUGCCCUUUGUACACACCGCCCGUCGCUAUCCGGGACUGAACUGAUUCGAGAAGAGUGGGGACUGUGGCUGCGAGGUUUUACCACUUCGCAGUUGCGGAAACCAUUUUUAUCGCAUUGGUUUGAACCGGGUAAAAGUCGUAACAAGGUAGCUGUAGGUGAACCUGCAGCUGGAUCAUCG